rnacentral:rRNA from 1 species
CAGUCGCCGCGGUAAAACGGAGGGUGCAAGCGUUAAUCGGAAUUACUGGGCGUAAAGCGUGCGUAGGCGGUGAGUUAAGUCUGCUGUGAAAUCCCCGGGCUCAACCUGGGAAUGGCAGUGGAUACUGGCUCGCUAGAGUGUGUCAGAGGAUGGUGGAAUUCCCGGUGUAGCGGUGAAAUGCGUAGAGAUCGGGAGGAACAUCAGUGGCGAAGGCGGCCAUCUGGGACAACACUGACGCUGAGGCACGAAAGCGUGGGGAGCAAACAGGAUUAGAUACCCCAGUAGUCCCUGUCUCUUAUAC